rnacentral:misc_RNA from 1 species
GAUGAAGAACGCAGCGAAAUGCGAUACGUAAUGUGAAUUGCAGAAUUCAGUGAAUCAUCGAGUCUUUGAACGCACAUUGCGCCCCCUGGUAUUCCGGGGGGCAUGCCUGUCCGAGCGUCAUUGCUGCCCUCAAGCACGGCUUGUGUGUUGGGCCUCCGUCCUCCUCCCGGGGGACGGGCCCGAAAGGCAGCGGCGGCACCGCGUCCGGUCCUCGAGCGUAUGGGGCUUCGUCACCCGCUCUUGUAGGCCCGGCCGGCGCUUGCCGACACAUCAAUCUUUUUUCCAGGUUGACCUCGGAUCAGGUAGGGAUACCGCUGAACUUAAGCAUAUCAAUAAGCGGAGGA